UACGUAGGCAGCAAGCGUUGUUCGGAGUUACUGGGCGUAAAGGGUGUGUAGGCGGUCUUCUAAGUUUGGUGUGAAAUCUCCCGGCUCAACUGGGAGGGUGCGCCGAAAACUGGGAGGCUAGAGUGCGGGAUGGGAGAGUGGAAUUCCCGGUGUAGCGGUGAAAUGCGCAGAUAUCGGGAAGAACACCCGUGGCGAAGGCGGCUCUCUGGGACGGUACUGACGCUGAGACGGCGAAAGCGUGGGGAGCGAACAGG
rnacentral:rRNA from 1 species